ACUGCCAGUGGGAUUCACUG
rnacentral:rRNA from 1 species